GAAUGUUUUGUCCCUGGCUGCUUCCUUCUGGACUCUGCGGUCUGCGCCGUCCCGGAGGAGCACAGAUAGCUCUGAUUUGCAGCUGCAGGUGCAGGCUUCUUGUAGCUGGGCACAGAUAUGUUCAGAGCUUUGAAGACCAAGACCUUGAACUAGCAGCGGAUGCAGAUUAAAAACCCUCUUCAGCUUCCUAAAGUGCAACUGAACUUCUGCAUGAGGCGACGAAGGAAAACAACCCCCUGGUUUCCAGGGGCUUUUUUAAACGUAGCAGGGAUUUGAUGUUUUAUCUUUGUUGCCUUUCCUCUAAAUGAUUUCAAACUACCCAUGGAUACGAAUGCCUCUAAUUUCAAGGCUUUCCUUUUGGGAUACAACAAAGUGAAGGCAGCCACUCAGAAGUUUGGCUGCAGGCAGGAGAAGAACAGAUGUGUCCAUGAGCGGACACAGCCAUCCGUGGGAGCUGGAAGAACAGAGGGGAAUGGGAAGUUCUGGUUUCAGAAGCUUGUCCUCGGAGCUGGAUGUAAGAGGGUUCUGCCCUAAGAACACAGGCUCUACAGGCUGAUUGUACAGCAGCAGCUCCUCUACUGGUCUUUACAAAACCCAUUUGAGGUCUACUAAUGAAAAGUGCUAUGGAAUUAUUGGUCUGACUUCUAUUCCUGCAGAAUUAGUGCGGCCCGAAGCCAGAGGGAGCCCUUCUGCUGGGAGGUUUGGAUCACCUUUGCUCAAGGGAAACUGAUGCAGGCUGCGUAUCGGCAGCGUAGGGGAACGAACCGGAUGAGAGGAGAAUAUUUAUUUAUUAUGGGAAUGUCUGAAGUUAUCCUUUCUGCUGGCUUUUGGCUCAAGGAGGAGCACCCCGCGUGCCACCCAGAGUCAAAGGGUAAGUGCAGUGAAAAAUAACAAUCAAAGAAAAAAAAACCAGCAAGGAAAAAGAAAAAAAAAAGAAAGGAAAAGGAAAGAGGUAGCGUUGCAAGUAAAGCUGGGAGAUUGCCAUUAAGAAGAAAAAAAAAAAAAAAUUAAAAAGGUGGGGGUGGUCACCAUGGGGCCGGCUGGGCUCCG
rnacentral:lncRNA from 1 species